AUGAGGAACUGGCCCACGCAGGACACAGAGCGAGCGUGUUUCUGUUUCACUGCCGUAUCAUCUCAUCUCAAGGUUCAGCCCAUCUUUCUCAAAGUGUGGUCAGAAGACCCCCCAAACCAGAUCCCUGGCUCCCACUCCGACUGUGCCGCAGCAGCAUCUCCGGUGACAGGGCCCAGGAGUCUGCAUUUUAGCAAGCUGCCCACAAGAUUUGGAGCAGGCGAGGAUCUGCGAAAUCCUGCCAGGCCGCUGGCAGGGCAGGCUGGGUGGCAUCAAAUGGGUGCUGGGUGUUGUGGGCAUUGAGGGCUGGAGGGGGAAGUGGGCCUGCCUGGGGAGGUCAGAGGCCAGGCCACACAGAGUGCCCUGGGGGACAAGCGAUGAGCUGGGAGGCCUUGCAGCCUGGCAGGGAUGGCGGGGUGAGGGUGGGGGGAUGUGGUCCGUGCAGUGGGACCCUGCUGGAGAGGGCGUCUCUGCUCCCUGCCCCCUGCAGCCCCUCUCAGAGAGGCAGCAGGUCCAGGCAGGGAUGUGAUGCCGCUGAAGUUGCUUCUUGAAGCAGAACACGAGACUAAGACAGUUCCCAUCCUGUGUUAAACAGAGACCAAGAGGAAAUGACUCCGUGACUUGCUCCGGGAAUGGGAAGACUGUGCGCUAAUGGACUAGUCUACUAAGUACCAGAUGCAGACCCACUUCGCGCCCCUUCUACCGGCCCCCGCCCCCUCGGGUCCCUGUGCACUGUCCUCUGUCCCAGCAAUUUCCCGCUGCUUCAGGCAAGUAGAGGCUCUCAAAUCAUAUCAGUGCUCUCCCCCCCACCCCCGCCGCCUGCUCCCCAUUUUGGACACUUGCUGACAGCCUGUCAGAGCUGCAAGAGGUCUAGGAAACUCAGCUUUACUUCAUCAGUGGAUUUCUGGAAUCUAGGGAAAUGCAUGGUCGACUUCUUGCCAACAACUUUGGUUGGUGCCUGUGAUGUAAAAAGAAAUGUAUAUGUGAUCGGGGUGCCUAGGUGGCUCAGUCAGUUGGGCUUCUGCCUUGGGCUCAGGUCCUGGGAUUGAGGCCCAUGUUGGGCUCCCUGCUCAGCUGUGAACCUGCUUCUCCCUCUCCCUCUGCCUGCUUCUCCCCCUGCUUGUGCUCUCUCUUUCUCUCUCUCAAAUAAAUAAAACCUAAAAAAGGGGAAAUGUAUAUGA
rnacentral:lncRNA from 12 species